UUUGUGUGAUGUAGAUGAAAAAGCUAGUAUAUUAAUUGAAGAUUGCCCACAGUGGUGCAUUAAAUCAAUGUCAGAUAAGCAUGAUAGUAGAUCAUGUAGAUUGAUUUAUGUAAAAACAAACAUCGGAUGCCCCACUUGCACUAUCAUUUUACAUGUUCAGUGGACCGUGAAUUUUGGGUCAAUACUUUAAUUUGACAUUAAAAUAAAAUUCAUCCUACAGGAACAUGUUACUAAGUUCAAGUUGAUGACUUCAACUUCAUCAAAAACUACCUUGACCAAAAACUUUAACCAGAAGCAGGAUGAACGGACACACGGACGAACGAACAAACGGAGGCACAGACCAGAAAACAUAAUGCCCCUCUACUAUCGUAGGUGGGGCAUAAAAAAAAAAGGUUUGACAUGUUUGUAAACUUCUUUUGAACAAAUCUAUUAUGGGGCUGGUAAUUGGGGUACCAUCAUUACGAAUAACGGUAAAAAUUCUUGCCAAAUGAUGUUAAUGGUCAUUUUUGGUGCAUGACAACAAAAUGUACAUUUUAGAAGAUAGAAUAAUGGUAACAAUAAUUUGACACUAACAAUAGCCGAAAAAUGACAGUUGGACGCCUGACAAUAAAGGGCAUUUUUACCCUCCUUUAUUUUCCAUUAUUUAUAAGGUAUAUAUUUUUAUUGUAAUUUAUUUCUACAGAUCUUCACAUUCCAGUAUUUAAAAGUAUUAUGUAUAAUGUCAGUUUAAUUAUAACAUAAGGUAAUUAGUGUUCCAAAGGUCACUUGGGGUAGUCACAUCACCCAAAUAUGCCAGAAAUAGGAAGUGUAUGUAUAUUGAAACAGAAAAUCAGAUUUCAUUUAAGCUACAGUGUACACGAUAGUGUAUGCAAAGUCGGGUGAAUUUUGUUAUUUUGAUAGAAAAAUAAGAAAUGAAAAAACAAAUUAAUAGUAAAGUAAACACCUAACUCACCAAUGGUCUGAUGGUAAAGAGUUAAGUGAGUAUUUUCAAUUUUUAACAAUUUUUUAUCAUAUUUAUCAAAUGCAAGGAUGUGUCAAGGAUUAUUGCUCUAUAGUUACCUAUGUGAUCUUAGAAAACCAAAUCAUAAGACAUUUUUGUGUUGAUACAUAGUUUACAUUUUGUAUUGUAAUUUCUUAAGACUCUAAAUUUGAAACAUAAGUUCUGUUCCACCAAAGAAAAAAAUCCUCUGUAUAACCAUGUUAUGACAAUGUAUGAAAGUAUGAAGAAUGUUAAUUAUUUCCUGUAUUAAUUAUUAUUGAUAAAUAAAUAUAUUUUAUUUUUCUAUUUGUUUAAAUAUUGUUUCUUAUAUUAUCUUAUAGAGUUUUAUUUGUUUUUUUGUUACUAUAAGCCAUAAUUACAUAUUCCAC
rnacentral:lncRNA from 1 species